UACGUAGGGGGCAAGCGUUGUCCGGAUUUAUUGGGCGUAAAGAGCGUGUAGGCGGCUUUACAGGUCCGUUGUGAAAACUCGAGGCUCAACCUCGAGACGCCGGUGGAAACCGUAAAGCUAGAGUCCGGAAGAGGAGAGUGGAAUUCCUGGUGUAGCGGUGAAAUGCGCAGAUAUCAGGAAGAACACCCGUGGCUAAGGCGGCUCUCUAGUACGGUACUGACGCUGAGACGCGAAAGCGUGGGGAGCGAACAGG
rnacentral:rRNA from 1 species